rnacentral:sRNA from 1 species
UUGUUGAUAGCUGUAGCGAGGUCUGGCACCACUUUCUUUCCAUGUUCGCAUGCCAUUGGUCUAGCCCUUGGAGGAGAGAGCAGUAUUUAAGGUGAUCGAGGUCUCGAGUCUCACGCAGUCUCUCUCCGCUCUUACCUUUUAUAAAACAAACAAAUUCAAUCAAGAAUGAAAUCUUGGACAAAUAAAUAGAAGCGACCAAUGGAAAACGUGUAAUCUCAACGAGCUAACCAAUCAAAAACGUUAAUAGUUGUUCAUUCAUAAACUUCGCCUACUUGAAGCAGCUAUUCAAUUCUCUUACUCACCCGAGGAAGCCGGAAUUUGAAAACAAUUCAACCGCGAGCAAGCAAUUAACACAUUUCUAGGAGUGUCUGCGAAUCUUCUCCAUCUUGAAGUGGUUUCGUUUAUUUCUAAAGUGGUUUGUUUCCACAAGUGAGCGCCAGUCUGAACUCUUCAAACCCAAAGUCCUAGCAGACGUCAAGCGAAACGUAAUUGUGACUGAAGACUUUCUGGUGAACAAAAAAAUGAUUUUGGCUAUAUUUCUACUCGUGGUUUUAACCAGCGACUAUGUUCAAUC